rnacentral:rRNA from 1 species
AAACUUUUAAUUGAAGAGUUUGAUCAUGGCUCAGAUUGAACGCUGGCGGCAGGCCUAACACAUCCA